AACCUGGUUGAUCCUGCCAGUAGUCAUAUGCUUGUCUCAAAGAUUAAGCCAUGCAAGUGAAAGUAUAUGCAUAUUUUAUAUGUAGAAACUGCGAACGGCUCAUUAAAACAGCUAUAAUCUACUUGACAUUUUCUAUAUAUAAGGAUAACUACGGAAAAGCUGUAACUAAUACUUGCUUUAGCACUCUUGAUUUCUUUCUUGAGUGUGUACUUGUUAAGCCUUAUAAGAAAAGAGUUAUUAACUUAAGGAAUUAUAACAAAGAAGUAACACGUAAUGGAUUUUUCCAUUUUUAGUGUGUAUCAAUCGAGUUUCUGACCUAUCAGCUUUUGAUGUUAGGGUAUUGGCCUAACAUGGCUAUGACGGGUAACGGGGAAUUAGAGUUCGAUUCCGGAGAGGGAGCCUGAGAAAUAGCUACCACAUCUAAGGAAGGCAGCAGGCGCGUAAAUUACCCAAUUCUAAAGAAGAGAGGUAGUGACAAGAAAUAACAAUACAAGGCCAAUCUGGCUUUGUAAUUGGAAUGAUGGGAAUUUAAAACCUUCCCAAAAUUCAAUUGGAGGGCAAGUCUGGUGCCAGCAGCCGCGGUAAUUCCAGCUCCAAUAGCGUAUAUUAAAAUUGUUGCAGUUAAAACGCUCGUAGUUGAAUUUCAAAGAACCUAUAUUUUAAUGAUGCUGUUAGCGAGAGCCACAAAAAAGCGAAUUCCAAUAUAUGUUUUCUGCUUUAUGUGCGCAUCCUCUACCUAUUAAGUGUUAAUUAAAUUAAAGGGUUUCUUUUUAAAAUCUUCUAUAACUAAUAAAAAUAUACGGAAGAUUUUGUUACUUUGAGU
rnacentral:rRNA from 1 species